GACGAACGCUGGCGGCGUGCCUAACACAUGCAAGUCGAACGGAGUGUUUAUUUAUAAACACUUAGUGGCGAACGGGUGAGUAACGCGUAGACAACCUACCCUCUAGAUGGGGACAACACCGCGAAAGUGGUGCUAAUACCGAAUGUUGUAAUGUUGUUGCAUAAUGAUAUUACUAAAGGUGGCCUCUAUAUAAAAGCUACCGCUAGAAGAUGGGUCUGCGUCUGAUUAGCUAGUUGGUGAGAUAACAGCUCACCAAGGCAAUGAUCAGUAGCCGGUCUGAGAGGAUGAACGGCCACACUGGGACUGAGACACGGCCCAGACUCCUACGGGAGGCAGCAGUGGGGAAUCUUCCGCAAUGGACGAAAGUCUGACGGAGCAACGCCGCGUGAGUGAAGAAGGUUUUCGGAUCGUAAAGCUCUGUCUUCAAGGCGAAUGUAGAUAUUGUGAAUAAUGAUAUUUAAUGACGGUACUUGAGGAGGAAGCCACGGA
rnacentral:rRNA from 1 species